rnacentral:misc_RNA from 1 species
AAAGUGCGAUAAGUCAUGUGAAUUGCAGAUUGUGAAUCAUCGAAUCUUUGAACGCAAAUGGCGCCUGCGGGCCUAAUCCCGGAGGCAUGUCUGGCUGAGUGUCGGUUUCAUUAUCUCACAUCUCCCCUAUUAGUACUAGGAGUGUGUGUGGGUGCAGUGGGAACGCUCUUUCUUCAAAAGAGAAGGAGACGGUCCUGAAGACCAGCGAGUAGGAGGCGUGCUCACUGCUUGUGUAGAUGCUUCAAACGUGAUAUUUGAUGUGGAAACAAAAAAAAGAUCGUUUGGAAUACACUAUACAUAUAUAAAAAAGCGGAAAAGAGGCGUCCUCUGAAGAAGAACAAAUAUUUUAAAUUUAAACCAUCGACAUCAGCUCAGGCAAGAGUACCCGCUGAACUUAA